AAUGAUGUACAAGCAUAUUUUCUUUGCAAGAAAAAAGAUUAUAAUCCAUUGUUA
rnacentral:tRNA from 1 species